UUGUGUCUAUGGAAUUAAUUUAUUUAAAUUAAAUGGGUUUUGUUAGUUAUUAUUAAGUUAUAAACACAAAAAAUACGUUUUGAAGCGUUAAUGAAGGUAAUUGUGAGAUUCUACUUUUAUGGAAUUUGGAUUUAUUGAAGAUGACUCUUGAUGCUGGAAUCCAGUAUUUUACUACGCUGCAAUGUCGAGAUUAAGAUUCUGUAUUGUACUAAAAUCGCGAUGUCCGAAGUCUACAAAGACUUGGUACAACUUUCAACAGCUCUUUAAAUUUCUCAAUGUUGUCCCCAACAUUUUCUG